rnacentral:rRNA from 1 species
GGCGAACGGGUGAGUAACACGUGGGUGAUCUGCCCUUCACUUCGGGAUAAGCCUGGGAAACUGGGUCUAAUACCGGAUAGGACGAUGGUUCGGAUGCCAUUGUGGAAAGUUUUUCGGUGUGGGAUGAGCUCGCGGCCUAUCAGCUUGUUGGUGGGGUAAUGGCCUACCAAGGCGUCGACGGGUAGCCGGCCUGAGAGGGUGUACGGCCACAUUGGGACUGAGAUACGGCCCAG